rnacentral:rRNA from 1 species
GAUGAACGCUGGCGGCGUGCUUAACACAUGCAAGUCGAACGAUGAAGCCCAGCUUGCUGGGUGGAUUAGUGGCGAACGGGUGAGUAACACGUGAGUAACCUGCCCUUAACUCUGGGAUAAGCCUGGGAAACUGGGUCUAAUACCGGAUAGGAGCGUCCACCGCAUGGUGGGUGUUGGAAAGAUUUAUCGGUUUUGGAUGGACUCGCGGCCUAUCAGCUUGUUGGUGAGGUAAUGGCUCACCAAGGCGACGACGGGUAGCCGGCCUGAGAGGGUGACCGGCCACACUGGGACUGAGACACGGCCCAGACUCCUAAGGGAGGCAGCAGUGGGGAAUAUUGCACAAUGGGCGCAAGCCUGAUGCAGCGACGCCGCGUGAGGGAUGACGGCCUUCGGGUUGUAAACCUCUUUCAGUAGGGAAGAAGCGAAAGUGACGGUACCUGCAGAAGAAGCACCGGCUAACUACGUG